UACGGAGGGUGCAAGCGUUAUCCGGAUUCACUGGGUUUAAAGGGUGCGUAGGCGGGCAGGUAAGUCCGUGGUGAAAUCCCCGAGCUUAACUCGGGAACUGCCAUGGAUACUAUUUGUCUUGAAUAUUGUGGAGGUAAGCGGAAUAUGUCAUGUAGCGGUGAAAUGCUUAGAUAUGACAUAGAACACCAAUUGCGAAGGCAGCUUACUACACAGUUAUUGACGCUGAGGCACGAAAGCGUGGGGAUCAAACGGG
rnacentral:rRNA from 1 species